UAUUUUUAGUCUUUUUUAACACAUUCAACAUUCUGAUUUUCAUUUUCAAGGAAUAAAUACUUGAUUAACUCCAUACGUAUCAGGCACAAGAUAUUUAAGUCGUAUGCUUAUGAAAUAAGAUUAAAUAAGCUCAGGCACGUUGCAAAAUGUUUAGUUGUUGCAAGUCACAAAUUGAAGACGCCAAGAAGAAUAUUUCAGAUAAGGUAGCUGAGAAGACAGGAAUUUCAUCGGAUGCAUUAGAAAGUAUUCAGAGUGGUGAUAUAUUGGAAGGUGCUGCUAAAAUGGCUGGAGCUGAAGGUAUUGCUGAAGCUGUAAAGGUCGCAGGAGAUGCUGAAGACACUUGUGAACUUCUCCAAGAAUGUUGUACCGUCAUGUGAUAUGUUUCAAUCUUAUGUCAUCUAUUCACUAUUAGCUUGCUUUGUCAACGGUGAUAACAUUUUUUUUUAUUUUUUCAAUAAAGAGAGAGAGAGAGAGAGAGAGAGAGAGAGAGAGAGAGAGAGAGAGUUGAGCACUCACAAACAUGUUAAAACCCGCCUAAUGUAUGUGUAUGUGUAGUGUCUAUCUUAUUUGUUUUUUGAUUAUUAUUUUGUACAUAAAUUCAGGCCUUGGCUUAUCUCGUUUGAA